GUUAAAAUAUCAGACUACUUUUUGCACUACUGAUAUACAUACAAUCGAAUUUAGGUUUUACUUAGGUUUUAAGUUAACUGCAUUAAUAAACGUCAACCUUCCUUUAUUUCAAACACUCUAAGCCUGUGAGUCAGAGUUGAGAAUUGGAGAAUAUUGUGAUGCACAUUUAGCUGCCUUCAGUGAGGCCUUAAUUGGUAGCCACGCCCUCCCCCUCCCCUACACCUGCAACUGCGCUGCACGUGCAUCUUGACCUAAAAUGGAUGACUUGAGCAGUGGCCUGGAGAUGUUCAGGAGAAGCCCGGAGUGGCUGAGAUUUCAUCAUAAUCGAUGCGAAAGCUGAUUUUCAAAAACCUUUACAGUGCAGGAAACGAUGGAAGAAAGUUCAACAGAGCUGGAUGAUAUUCAUGAGGAACCAGAGAGUGAUUCCUUGGAAUCUGAAGUAUCCAGCUGCGCAGUACUAGACCCAGAUUACAAUCCGGAACACAGAACGUCAUCAUCCAGUGAUGUGGAAGAUUUGAGCCCAAACAAAGGUUCAUCGCUUAAGAAACAGUCCAGUAAAGAAUAUCUUGAAGGUCCAGACACAAAUUUGAGUAAUGAUGAUCAGUAAAGAGGGAAGUGCACCAUUUAUUAAAAAAAAACAACUUAAAACUUAUCUGAAAAGGCACAAACAACUCGAGAUAAACAAAACAAAUAAAGGCAAAUCAACUGUGACCCUAAAAAUUUGUACAAAAAGGGAAGACCAUAAAUGAGCACUGGACAAAAGACAUUAUUGCCUCUACUGUGGCAAAUCACAGUUAAAGAUCUCGAGGCAUUUGGGGAGAAAGCAUAUCGAGGUCAAAGAUGUGGCAUAUGCCUUCAGCUUUCCAUUAAGAUCGAAAGAAAGAAAGGGUCUUCUGGAACAGCUGCGCAAUAAAGGAGACUUUAAACACAAUUCCAAAGUUCUGGAAAAAAGUAGAGGACAUAGUGACCUGGAAGCAGCCGUCUGAUAAAGCUUCUCUUAAGGACUAUUUGCCUUGCCCAUAUUGUUUUAGAAUGUUCAGGAAAAAUGACCUGUGGAGACAUCAGUCCUCGUGCAAAACUAAGAAGUCAUGUGUGACUGAUGAAAAAAUAAAAACUAGAUGAGGGAGAGUACAAAGUUGUGCUGCAUUCCUGCUUCCUAUAGCAGUUUCCUCAGACGGACGUCAGAGCAUCAUCAACAUGAGACAAGAUGAUGUGUCCUUUCACGUCAGGAGUGAUUCUUUGAUUUGCAAAUACGGAGAAUCACUUUACGCAAAACACGUUCGUGUGAAGUCUAAGCACCAGUACGUUGCAUAAAGAAUGAGGGAGUACUUUCCCAAAUGAAAAGCUUACAGCACCUAGUAUUCCCAUUCAGUCUCCCAACCAAGUUCUAACCAGGCCCAACUUUGCUUUCGAGGUCAGAUGAGAGGGUUGGGGUUUUUUUUUUUUUUUUUUUUUUUUUUUUUUUUUUUUUUUUUUUUUUUUAAAUUAUUAUUAAAAGUAUUCAAAAAUUCCAUUAAAAACAUUACAACAUAAAUAUUUUUCACAUUAAAAUACAUCAGUAUAUACUUAUAUUUUUUUUAACAAUAAAUCCUAACUUUGUAAACAUUUAUUUACAUCCAUUGUAAUAUUUCUUUUUUUUAUGGUAUGACUGUUUUAAACCUAUAACGCUUCUAUUCCUGUAAUGAUAAAAUUACCCUUGUUGUCCUGGCACUUUCCAUUGUAAAUCAUUAAAAACCUUGCAUACAUCUGAUGUAAAAACAUUAUAAUCAUCCAUUUUAUUUUCUUGUUUGGGGGGAAAAAAAGCAUUCUACAUAUCUUUCGACUUUUCUUUUAAACACACACUCUACAUCCAUUACAAUUUUUUUCUUUUUUGCCACAAUUCUUCUCUCCCAUAUUCCCAUAUUGCACUUUUUAUCAACAUCACAAGCAGAUUGAUCAGGUGUGUGUGUGUG